AUUGCGCGACGAUCGCGCGGCAUCGCGACCAGUCGACGCUCGACAACCGGAGAGUCGAGUCGUGUGUUUGUCGCGUGAGAAUCGCCAAUUGUGUGCGAAACUCCGUCGUUGUCUUCCGAAUAUUCCGCGAGGCGUCUUCCCGCGCCUCUUGUCGCGCAAGCGAAUUACCAUCCCUUUGUUGCGAGAUAACCGAAGGCUCGAACUGAAGAAGCAACCGCGUUAAACCGCGAAGAAUAAGAUAUAUAUGUGGCUCGUUAAAUCUCGACGGACUCUAAAGAAGCACGCGUAAUAAAAUUCUGCGGCGCAUUUUACGCGCGACGCUCUUCCGGCGAUGGGAUUUUCAUAAUCGGCGGCGUUUUGCUACGCCGGUAGCACGUGCGCAGUGUCUCAACCAAUAGCGGAAAGUUUGCAACAGAUCACAAAUAUGUAUUUCAACGAGUAAAACUGCUGGUGCGAUCUUUCAAAAAAUUGUAUGCUCCGGUCGGUGUAUCGGCCCGCCGUCGUUCACGGGACGGAAGGGGACGAGUCGUCGCGGCGGUGAGAGGCGAAGAAGGGGACGGAGUUUCGAGGCGCGACCGGGGCCGAGAGAGAAGAGGGUCGACGACUAGCGGUAGUGGUGGAAACAUCGGUGCGCGUACUCGUGACGGAGGAACCUCGUGCGGUUCCAGUCGCGUUGCCGAGCAUAAACGAGUCGGAGUUGCGCCGUGAUCUGUCGUAUCUCGCGCGCAACAGUUCGUUCCAUUCACCGACGACGAGACCCCGUUGAUAUUCAUCGCGCGAGCGAUGGAAAGCGGAAGGAGGCAAAACGGAUAGAGGGAAGAAAAUCGUUUACCUUACCGUGAAUAGUGGUUGGAAAAGCGAAGAAACAUUGGCAGAAACAAACAACAAUCUCUUGUUUGGUAUUUGAGACACUUAUAGACGGUGCUCCCGGUAAAACCACCGCGUAGAGAGCGAAAGAGAGAAAAGUGUCGCUCAUUCUCGGCGCACGUUCGACCUCUCUCGCCCUCCGACGUUAUUGCAUGUACGUACGACGUCCGUAUCCCGGUCGCGUACGUGUGCGCCGGUCUUCCCCACUCUCUGUGUCGUUCCCUCACCCCUGCUCGUUCGUCCGAUCGUGCUCGCUCGCUCGCACUUUAGCACCUCGCUGCUGGAGCACCGCCCCUGUGUGUUGCUCGCGCUCGCUCCAUCCCGCGGGAGCCAGCGAUUUCAAGAAUGUGACAGUGCGCGUCCUCGCGAUCGGUCGGUCGGUCGGUCCGAACGAACGUACGGGCGUACGGAAGGAAGGAAAGACGGGUUCGCGCGGCGAGCGAGACGAGAAGAAGCAACAGUAGCGGCCGGCGAGCGAUGGGUGCCGGAGAUCAUCAUUGUUGCGGUGUUGUCGCGUCACGGUGAGAGAAAGCAAAACACAUUGCUAAGUGAAAAAAACGUAAAGCGUCGAAAGCGAAGAUAGAAGGGAGGAAAGGAAGUGAAGGACAGACGAUGCGAGCGGAAAAUGUCACUCGGUGAUACGCGCGUACGAAUGACGGGGAGUGAUCGACGGAGCGACGAUCGCGAGUCUGAGGUUAUUAGUGUGUCGCCGCGGCGGCGG